rnacentral:rRNA from 1 species
AUUGAACGCUGGCGGCAGGCCUAACACAUGCAAGUCGAACGAGUGGCGGACGGGUGAGUAAUGUCUGGGAAACUGCCUGAUGGGGGGGGAUAACUACUGGAAACGGUAGCUAAUACCGCAUACCAUCGGAUGUGCCCAGAUGGGAAUAGCGAGUAGGGGGGGUAAAGGCUCACCUAGGCGACGAUCCCUCGCUGGUCUGAGAGGAUUACCAGCCACACUGGAACGGGGACACGUUCCAGACUCCUACGGGAGGCAGCAGUGGGGAAUCUUGCACAAGGGGCGCAAGCCUGAUGCAGCCAUGCCGCGUGUGUGAAGAGGGCCUUCGGGUUGUAAAGCACUUUCAGCGAGGAGGCGUUACUCGCCGAAGAAGCACCGGCUAACUCCGUGCCAGCAGCCGCGGUAAUAC